CAUAUAGAAAAUAAGUGCAAAGAAGGAAGCGAUUGUGAUUAUGCUCAUUCAGUUGAAGAUUUAAGAAGUAUACCAGAUUUAAAAAGAACUAAAUUAUGUUAUAAAUUAUUAAAAGGAGAAAAAUGUUUUAAUAAAAAUUGUAAUUAUGCACAUAAUCAAGAGGAGCUUAAAUCUGCACAAAAUUUAUUUGCAUAUAAAUCUUCUAUGUGCAAAUUUUUUUGCAAAUAAAACUUGCCUUAAUGGUCAUACAUGUCGUUUUGCGCAUACAUUAGAUGAAUUAAGAGUACCUAGAAUACCAGAAAUAUUAUUAGAAAAAAGUAAUACAGGUACAGGAGGAAAUAUAAAUGUAACAAGUUGUUUAUAUAACAGUGAAAAAACAGAAACUGUACCAUGUGAGAAUGGAGAAGUAAAAAUGAAAAAUACUGAUGGGGAAGAUAAUUAUAUAUACGACGGAGUUGGUAAGCACAUUAAUGAUAAUAACAAUAAUAACAUUAACAGUAAUAAUAACAUUAACAGUAAUAAUAACAAUAAUAACAAUAAUAAUCUUAUGUUGCAUAACAAAUUAAUGCAAACAAAACAACAUGCUAUGAAUUCAUAUAUAAAUUAUAAACAAACUAAUAACAACUGGGAUAAAACAACAGUUCCAAUAUUAAAUCAUAAUUGUUAUAAUCAGUACAUCAAUCCAAACGAAUAUGCAAUCUAUAAUAAUAUAAAAAAUGUACCAUUUAUUCCUCCAAUCAAUUAUUAUCCAAAUCAUUUAUAUUAUUAUACAAAUGGUUAUAAUUAUUAUCCUUAUAAUACAGUAGUUGAUAAUAUGAACAAUGACGUUGCACCUUUUUCAGAGUAUAAUAAUGAUAAUUACAACAAUUUAAAUAAAAAAUGUUUCGAAUGGUAGUCAUGUGGAAGUACAAAAUGUAAACGAAAGUGAUACAACGGAAAAAGUAAAAAAGGGAGAAGGUAAAACAAACGAAGUAGAAGGAGAAACAGGCGAAAUAGAAAAAGAAACAGGCGAAAUAGAAGAAGAAACAGGCGAAAUAGAAGAAGAAACAGGAGAAAUAGAAGAAGAAACAGGAGAAAUAGAAGAAGAAACAGGAGAAAUAGAAGAAGAAACAGGCGACGUAGAAGAUAAAAUAAACGAAGUAGAAGGAGAAACA
rnacentral:lncRNA from 1 species